AGCAAACUAUGGUUAAUUAAAUGGUUCGCUAAAUUUGAAUUCAAAGCCUCAGAGUGAAUCAAAUUGAUGCAAUGAAUUUUAAUUUAAAGAAUCAAUUAAUUUGAAAUUGAUUUCCUAUGAGUUAAUUUAAAAUUAAAGAAUUACAAUGUUAGUUGAAGCACUAUAAACAAGACUUUGAUUUCACUUCCUUAGCAAAAAAAAGAAGAAGAAAUCAUUCUUUGAUAUUUAAAAGAAUUUUCUUUGUUACGUUCUCUCUACAAUCAUACAAUUUCAAAUAAAAGUGUUAGGGAAUAUUUCAGCAUCUAAUUGCAAUGUUUUAGUUUUGCUAUAUCCUAGAGGUAAUUUGCAUAAAAUCCCUUUAGCAAACUCUUUCAAGUGGAUGCAAAUAAAACCUAAAGAAAAGUGUUAUACGCACUUAAAAAUCAUUGGUAUGUCAUAUUUGUUCCUCUUUUCAUCAAUACAAAUAGUAAUUUAAUUUCCUCCCCACUUAUAAUAAGGGUUCGAAUCAUUUGAGAGUACUAACACACAUAUACUAUAAUGCUUUCAUGUAGAAUUUGGGCAUAUAUUGUAUGUAGACCAUUAAAUAUUUGCUAUCAGAUAUAUCUAAUGAUCAAUACAUUUUGAUAUUGCUAAAAUGUGCAUCACCCAAAACCUUACCUUAAACUAUUAUCGUUAUGAAGCAUAGAGGUAAUCAAGAGUCAUUCCCAGAAAGAAUUUUUCCCAAUUAAUACGUUAUUUAUAUAAAACACACAAAACACACAAAUUGGCUAGCAAUGAUGAUAUAAUUAAAAACUUAUUUAUACAUAUUGAAAUUAACUCAAACUUUCUAGAUCUACUAUGAAUAUUCUAGUGAACAAGCACACAAAAUCUUACGGUGAGGGGGCAGGUGCGUGUUUGAAGUUGAUUUGCUAUAUAAACUAAACUAAAGAAUUUAAAGUAAAAAAUUUGAACUUGAUGAAAACAAUUUUAAAGAGGCUUAUAUAUGAUGUGAAAUUGAUUAAGGAAUCAUUAUCCACCACUACACAAUGGAUUUUAGACCAACUAUCAGAAUUAUCAUUCGUUACUUUUGAAAACAACCACCUUAAGAUAAUUACAAGUUCAAUUAUCUUAAAUUUUCCUUACUUAGCUUUCAAGUUAAACAAACUCUUCACUUAAUUUAUUUCUACUAAACAAUCCAUAAUAAGCUAUCUAAAUCAAUUUAAUGAAAUUAUUAAAAUAAAGAAAGAUAUAUGUUGAAUCAAAAUGCAAACAUAGAAGCUCUGUUUAUUUAUGUUGAACUAUAUUCCACAUGCAACCAAACAAAAAUAUCUAAUAAUCAUUGAUCACAGUCUACCACUUGUGUUUAGUUAUUUGGCGAUUACGGAAUUAACAAUUAAAUCAUGUAGUUGGCCACCUAAACAAACAAGAUAGAAGUUCUUGAAAUUAAAAUAAGUGAAAUAUAAAAUUCUCUAGAGAAAGAUGAAGAAAUUCUUAUUUUGAAAUUUUAUUAACUAAAAUUCAUAUCUAGAGUUUUGAAGUCAACAAUGACGAAUAGAAAGAUUACUUAUACAUGUCUAAAUUGAUGAGCAUCAAAUCUAUAAAAGAAAACUAAUAAAAGAUGAGAAAGAAAACGUUAUUAAUUGAAUUAUGGUAAAGCAACCAUGUCUUCUCUCAAAUUCACCUUCUUCUCUAUUCUUUUGUUCUUCUCUCAUUUGAAUUGAUUCUUCACGUUCUUUCUCCUUUUAGAAUGUUUAACUUGUUGUCUUUAUAUAAAGUUGCUAUCUUAAUCCUUUUAGGACUAGUAAAUACUUGUUUUUAACUUCUUUUUCAUUAUGAGAAUAUGAACUUGACACAAGAUUAUAGGUCCAAGUGGCGGAAUAGUUUAAAAUUUUGUUUAUAUUGUUGGCCCGAUUAGAAAAUCAAAAAGCCUUCAAGAAUCAAUCUUUUGGCUCAAAUCUGAUCUUCAACCUUAGAACAUUUUAAUAUAGCCAAAUAAAAGUAAAUAGAGCCUACAAGUCUGUCCAAGAAGCAAUCAUAAUACUUGAAAUCAUAAUUGUUAACAUUUAUGUAUCCAUAAUAUUGAUUUUGAUGAUAACAAACAAAAUUAAGAAUGAUUAAGUUUUUAAAAUCUCAAGCUAUU
rnacentral:lncRNA from 1 species